UUUUGUAUGUACGUAUGUUCGAACGCUCUGUGAUAUCAUGUAUUUCACCUCGAAAAUGUAUAACAAAUGCAAAUUUUUAUCGGGAGUGCUAAUUAAAGUACAUGCGAGUAUGAGAUAAAUAUUAUGUAUUGACGUAUUACGCAUUAGAUUGUCUUGUUUACCGCGUAUAUUCGCGAUUAAGUGUUUCGUUGCAGUAUGUGUGAUGUACUUCACGCGCGUUUUUACCCGCACUUACUUUUUUACAACAUGGUCGUUUAGGUUGUACACUCUCUUGGAACCUGAAUAUCCACGUAGUUCCGAAACUCUUUGAUUAACGAAUAGCAAACGUUAUCUAGC